UUGGCUACGUAACCAAACGAUCUGACGUCACCACUACACUCCAAAUCUUUCCCCCCAGUGGCUGCAUGUUCUGAACAUGGCGAACCAGUUACCAACGCCUGCGCUGAACUUUGGGCAACAGGCGAUGAGGAGGCACAUUAUGGAGAGGCUCCUGUACAGAUUGCAGCAGGCCAUGCAACGCCUUCCACUGGAUCUUGGUUACUUACAGUUUGUCUGCACCAAUGAGAUUAUUAAGUAGACUUGCAGGGUCUCUCCAAACUGUGUAGCCUAGUCAAUGCUGAAAUGGAAGAAAGAUGUGCCCAUCAAUUGUUGUUGAUGACGAAAUGGGACGUCCUAAGCUGAUUGUCAGAACAGCACCUUCGACAGCUGAUUGAAAUGGAUCUGCCUGUACCUUGCAUUGCCAAACUGCUCGGCAUCUCAACACAAACUGUCCAACGCAGAAGGCAGGAAUACGGUGUCAUGACGUGGCCCUUUCUGGG